UGGGGGUGAGGCUGCCAUUAGAAAUGAGGUAGUCAGGGUGAGCUUCACAGAGGAGGAGACACUUAAGCCAAGAACUGGGGGAGCUGACAGCAGGAUGCCUGGGGAAGGAACUUCCAGGCAGAGGAAAGAACAAGGCCAGGACUGCACAGUGGGCGAGCCAGUGUCUGGUGUGGCAGAGGAAGGGCGAGGAGGCCACAGUGGCUGAGAGGGCGAGGGGGCAAGGGGAAGGAGCUGGGGUUGUAGAAAGUGGUGGGCAAAUCUCACUGGGCCUUGGGGUCCUCUGUAAGGACUUUGGCUUUUGUUCUGAGUGAGGUGGGAGUCCUGGAGUGCUCUGAGCAGGGGAGGGCACGGUCGGCCUCAGGUCUUCAAGGAGUCCUCUGUUAGUAAGUGAAGAAUGGCCUGGGGAAAGUGAAGGCGGAAUCAGGCAGAGCGGUUUGGGGGCUGCCCCAGCAGGCCAGGCAAAAUGCCAUCUGCAGCGGGGAGAGGAGCAGAAGAGGGCCAGGUUUCUUGAUCUGGAUCCUAAAUAAUUCUUGGGAAUGAGAAAGUAGGGGAGAGGGAGAGGUAGAGAGAGGCUUGGACCCUUCCUUGGGUUUGAAGAGUUAUCAUGGAAUCCUGAUGUGCAGGGACUUGACAGUGAUAUGUAUUUGCUCAUGCGUUCACUCCAGAAUUCAUUCAUUCGUUCACUCAUUCAUUCCGUCCUUCCUUCAUUCCAGACCCGUGAGAGGCUUUGAAUUCAGGUGGACCUGGGUUCAAUUCAUGCCCCCACCACUUCCUACUUGGGUGUCUCUGGGCAGUUACUUUAACCUCUCUGGGCCUCAGUCUCCAUAUCUGUAAAAUAGCGCACAUAACGGCACUUGCACUGACGGUAGGGUUGCUGUGAGGUCUAAUGACAGUGCAUGAGCAAACCGGCAAUUCACUGGCAUUCGCUUGUCCUUCCUCCCUCACUCCCUCCUCCCAUCGUUUCCUCCUGCCUCCUGUCUUUAUCUCACCUGAUUAGACUAUAUUUCAUCUGUGUCUUUUUUCUAGCGUUUCACGCCCCGAUGCCUGGAAUCUUGCUUGGCACAGAGUGGGAGCUCAAUGAAUACGUACUGAAUGGAUGACCUCACUGGAGUCCUGAGCAGACGGAAAGCGCCACAUCAGGAGGUGGGAGCCCCAGACAAUCCUGGGAUGAUUCCAUUUUACAGAUGAGGAAACCCGGACAGCAGAGGGGCUCGUGUUCCUCCCAAGGUUGCUCAGCUCUGAAGAUCAAACCUCCCCUUGACCCCAGCUGUGUGCACACCCACAGCCCCAAAGCCCAGGCUUUGCACCAGCUUUUGGCACAGUCGAAAUAGAUAAAUUAUCCCCAAACAGCCUCCUAAGCUCUAGAAAGAGAAGCUAAGCCAGUGUGAAUAAACCUUGUAAUAUUUAUUCUAGCACCUAUGUUAAUUUUGUGUCAUAUCUGUGGUUCUAGAGACUUAUAG
rnacentral:lncRNA from 10 species